rnacentral:rRNA from 1 species
CCUACGGGAGGCAGCAGUAGGGAAUCUUUCACAAUGGGCGAAAGCCUGAUGGAGCAACGCCGCGUGCAGGAUGAAGGCCUUCGGGUUGUAAACUGCUUUUAUAAGCGAGAAAUAUGAUGGUAACUUAUGAAUAAGGAUCGGCUAACUACGUGCCAGCAGCCGCGGUCAUACGUAGGAUCCGAGCAUUAUCCGGAGUGACUGGGUGUAAAGAGUUGCGUAGGUGGCAUAAUAAGUAGCUAGUGAAAUCUGGUGGCUCAACCAUUCAGACUAUUAGCUAAACUGUUAAGCUCGAGACCGUUAGGGGUAACUGGAAUUUCUAGUGUAGGAGUGAAAUCCGUAGAUAUUAGAAGGAACACCAAUAGCGUAGGCAGGUUGCUGGGACGGUUCUGACACUAAGGCACGAAAGCGUAGGGAGCAAACGGGAUUAGAUAAGUC